GGUUAAGCGACUAAGCGUACACGGUGGAUGCCCUGGCAGUCAGAGGCGAUGAAGGGCGUGCUAAUCUGCGAUAAGCGCCGGUAAGGUGAUAUGAACCGUUAUAACCGGCGAUACCCGAAUGGGGAAACCCAGUGUGACUCGUCACACUAUCAUUAACUGAAUCCAUAGGUUAAUGAGGCGAACCGGGGGAACUGAAACAUCUAAGUACCCCGAGGAAAAGAAAUCAACCGAGAUUCCCCCAGUAGCGGCGAGCGAACGGGGAGGAGCCCAGAGCCUGAAUCAGCAUGUGUGUUAGUGGAAGCGUCUGGAAAGGCGCGCGAUACAGGGUGACAGCCCCGUACACAAAAGCGCAUGUGCUGUGAGCUCGAUGAGUAGGGCGGGACACGUGGUAUCCUGUCUGAAUAUGGGGGGACCAUCCUCCAAGGCUAAAUACUCCUGACUGACCGAUAGUGAACCAGUACCGUGAGGGAAAGGCGAAAAGAACCCCGGCGAGGGGAGUGAAAAAGAACCUGAAACCGUGUACGUACAAGCAGUGGGAGCACCCUUUGGGUGUGACUGCGUACCUUUUGUAU
rnacentral:rRNA from 1 species